rnacentral:rRNA from 1 species
UGUAAAGGGCAUGCCUUAGUACGGCGAGUGAGCGGCAAAAGCUCAAAUUUGAAAUCUGGCACCUUCGGUGUCCGAGUUGUAAUUUGAAGAAGGUAACUUUGGAGUUGGCUCUUGUCUAUGUUCCUUGGAACAGGACGUCACAGAGGGUGAGAAUCCCGUGCGAUGAGAUGCCCAAUUCUAUGUAAAGUGCUUUCGAAGAGUCGAGUUGUUUGGGAAUGCAGCUCUAAGUGGGUGGUAAAUUCCAUCUAAAGCUAAAUAUUGGCGAGAGACCGAUAGCGAA